rnacentral:rRNA from 1 species
CAGCCGCCGCGGGAAUACGUAGGGUGCGAGCGUUAAUCGGAAUUACUGGGCGUAAAGCGGGCGCAGACGGUUACUUAAGCAGGAUGUGAAAUCCCCGGGCUCAACCUGGGAACUGCGUUCUGAACUGGGUAACUAGAGUGUGUCAGAGGGAGGUAGAAUUCCACGUGUAGCAGUGAAAUGCGUAGAGAUGUGGAGGAAUACCGAUGGCGAAGGCAGCCUCCUGGGAUAACACUGACGUUCAUGCCCGAAAGCGUGGGUAGCAAACAGGAUUAGAUACCCCCGUAGUCCCUGUCUCUUAUAC